rnacentral:tRNA from 1 species
AAUGCAAGAAGCGAGAAAUUUGCAUGCGGUUUCGGCCCGCAAGUUGGGGGUGAAAGUCCCUUCUUGUAUUU